GACAACUCAAGACUAAAACCGAAGACCGCAGGGGUCUGGCUGAGACAUAAUCUUCCUGCCGAGGUUUGCGAAGUCCAUCCGUUGCGAUUGGGCGAUCGCCCCGGCACCCUUGCUGGGGUUUUUCUUUCACUGA
rfam:Thermosynechococcus elongatus BP-1 DNA, complete genome.